GAUGAACGCUGGCGGCGUGCCUAAUACAUGCAAGUCGAGCGAACAGACGAGGAGCUUGCUCCUCUGACGUUAGCGGCGGACGGGUGAGUAACACGUGGAUAACCUACCUAUAAGACUGGGAUAACUUCGGGAAACCGGAGCUAAUACCGGAUAAUAUAUUGAACCGCAUGGUUCAAUAGUGAAAGACGGUUUUGCUGUCACUUAUAGAUGGAUCCGCGCCGCAUUAGCUAGUUGGUAAGGUAACGGCUUACCAAGGCAACGAUGCGUAGCCGACCUGAGAGGGUGAUCGGCCACACUGAAACUGAGACACGGUCCAGACUCCUACGGGAGGCAGCAGUAGGGAAUCUUCCGCAAUGGGCGAAAGCCUGACGGAGCAACGCCGCGUGAGUGAUGAAGGUCUUCGGAUCGUAAAACUCUGUUAUUGGGGAAGAACAAAUGUGUAAGUAACUAUGCACGUCUGGACGGUACCUAAUCAGAAAGCCACGGCUAACUACGU
rnacentral:rRNA from 1 species